AGCGGCAGGCUUAACACAUGCAAGUCGAGGGGUAACAGGGAUUGCUUGCAAUCCGCUGACGACCGGCGCACGGGUGAGUAACGCGUAUGCAACCUACCUUUUACUGGGGGAUAGUCAAGAGAAAUUUUGAAUAAUACCCCAUAUGAUCUGAUUCACUCCUGUGAAACAGAAGAAAAUUCCGAUGGUAAAAGAUGGGCAUGCGUCCUAUUAGUUUGUUGGUGAGGUAACGGCUCACCAAGACUUCGAUAGGUAGGGGUCCUGAGAGGGAGAUCCCCCACACUGGUACUGAGACACGGACCAGACUCCUACGGGAGGCAGCAGUGAGGAAUAUUGGACAAUGGAGGCAACUCUGAUCCAGCCAUGCCGCGUGCAGGAAGACGGCCCUAUGGGUUGUAAACUGCUUUUAUACAGGAAGAAACGUUAGUACGUGUACUAGCCUGACGGUACUGUAAGAAUAAGGAUCGGCUAACUCCGUGCCAGCAGCCGCGGUAAUACGGAGGAUCCAAGCGUUAUCCGGAAUCAUUGGGUUUAAAGGGUCCGCAGGCGGUCUAAUAAGUCAGAGGUGAAAUCCUAUCGCUCAACGAUAGAACUGCCUUUGAUACUGUUAGACUUGAGUUAUUGUGAAGUAGUUAGAAUGUGUAGUGUAGCGGUGAAAUGCAUAGAUAUUACACAGAAUACCGAUUGCGAAGGCAGAUUACUAACAAUACACUGACGCUCAGGGACGAAAGCGUGGGUAGCGAACAGGAUUAGAUACCCUGGUAGUCCACGCCGUAAACGAUGGUCACUAGCUGUUUGAUGCACAUUGGUGUGUUGAGUGGCUAAGCGAAAGUGAUAAGUGACCCACCUGGGGA
rnacentral:rRNA from 1 species